rnacentral:lncRNA from 1 species
CAGUUCUUCAAUCCAGGCCACCCAGUCACUAUAGUGUCAGCCAAUGCGCAUUGCCGUCUUUGGCUCAGGUGACCAUUCCCUGUAGCAAUCUUCUCACUUUAGCCUCCAAGUAGCUGGGACUACAGGUGCACACCACUGAGCCCAGCUUUCUCUCUAUUUUUAUUCACAUCUUCAACUUGGACACCUGAUGAGCAACAGGCACUUUAUUAGAAUCCUUUUAACAGGCCAGGCAUGGUGGCUCACACCUGUAAUCCCAAUACUUUGGGAGGCCAAGGUGGGAGGAUCGCUUGAGCCCAGGAGUUUGAGAAAAGCCUGGGAAACAUAGC